rnacentral:misc_RNA from 1 species
UGACCAUAGACACAUGCCCACUGAUAAUAAUUUAAUUUAUUUUGAAUUUAAAAUAUAAUACAUAUUUAUUUUAAGCGAAGGUAAUUGAUGUUAUUACAGUGAUGGUGGACACAAUUGUUUAAGUCAGCCAUGGUAAUUAUGCGCAGCCAUCAUUCUCCUAAGAAUAAUGCCACUGAGUUAUUAAUUUCAUAAGGGGACAUGUAAAUGCAUAAGAAAGGAAUCCAAACAUAUUUAUG